rnacentral:lncRNA from 1 species
UUUUUUCAAUUUCUGAAUUUCCAUUUUAAUUUCUUUUAUUCCAUUUUAUUUUAAAAAUUCAUAACUUCUUUAUUUGGAAUCACAAAAAUAUGGGACCAAUUGCAAAAAAUUUCUUUUAAAUUCUAGUUUCUAAAAAUAAUUUUUAAUUAUUUUUGUGAUUCCAUUUAAUAUUUUUUGUGAAUUAUUUCUUUUCUGGUUAUUUUUAAUUCAU